rnacentral:rRNA from 1 species
GAAUCUUCCGCAAUGGACGAAAGUCUGACGGAGCAACGCCGCGUUAGUGAAGAAGGUUUUUGGAUCGUAAAACUCUGUUGUCGGAGAAGAACAAGUAGGAGAGUAACUGUUCCUACCUUGACGGUACCCGACCAGAAAGCCACGGAUCACCACUUUCGAGCAGCCGCGGUAAUACGUAGGUGGCAAGCGUUGUCCGGAUUUAUUGGGCGUAAAGCGAGCGCAGGUGGUUCCUUAAGUCUGAUGUGAAAGCCCACGGCUCAACCGUGGAAGGUCAGUGGAAACUGGGGAACUUGAAUGCAGAAGAGGAGAGUGAAAUUCCAUGUGGAGCGGUGAAAUGCGUAGAUAUAUGGAGGAACACCAGUGGCGAAGGCGACUCUCUGGUCUGUUAUUGACACUGAGGCUCGAAAGCGUGGGGAGCAAACA